AAAUGCAGAUUAUCACAAAAUCUGUGUGACAUGAGUGACAACUUCAGCUGUUGUCAUCUGCCCUCACACACGCUCUGCGCUGCUUUCCUGGUUCCAGAUGGCCAGAGAGAAGACAGUCAGCCAACACAGUGCAGGCACUACAGAGCAGCCUCAGCAGUAGAGACAAUCUCUUUUUCUCUUUCUGGGAUCAUCCUGUUGCAUGUUUCCUGACUAUGCAGGACGUGGUGUAGCUGAUACCCUGGCCCUUAUAUAAGUGAUUCUCUGGAUAAGCCUGUCCAGCUGUUCAUUCCUGCAGCAUGGAACUGCAGCACGUGGCCCCGUGUGCUUCCCUCUCCGCAGAAUUUCUCUCUGCACACAAUGCAAACCCUCCAUUUUAACCAUUCUGACUGGUUACAGGAUGGCCUCAGAGUUAUUUUCAGCUGCAAUAAUAGGUAAAAAAUAUUCAUGUUGGAGGGUCAUCUAUGGAUCCCAAUGAAGACCUGCUCCCAAAUACUAUGGAGCAAGGACACAGUCAAUUUGUGUCAUUUGGUGCCCAUUUCUCAUCGCUCUCACAGCCAAGAAUUUCUUCCCAAUGUCUGAUCUAAACCUGUCCUCUGUGAAUUUCAAGCUAUUAUCCCUUGUCAUAUCACAACACAGCCUGUAAAAAGUCCCUCUCCAGCCUUCUUGUAGCCCUCUUUAGGCACUGUAAGGCUGCUGCCAUGGUAACCACUGCAUCACUGGUUCCCAUUCUUGGUUUUCCUAAGGUUGUAGUAGAUUUUCAGGAAGUUGCAUCAUUUGAAAGAGUCACUGGAUAGGAGGUUCAACUUCUAGAUGCAUAUUCAAAUCUGGAAGACUAAGUGCAAAGCAGACCCCUAGACCUGUAAGGGAAAAUGCCAGCAAGAUAGACAUGAUUUCAUGCUGUGCCAACAAAAAAAUCCAACCCCUAACAGCAUUAUGCCUUGCCAUCCUUCAUAGUACUAUGAAUUUGGAAGCUGAAAGAAAAAUGGGGAACUUUGGAAGUCACUACUAGCUAUUACAGGAAGUGGUAUAGCUGUAGUCAAAUAAAUGUG
rnacentral:lncRNA from 1 species